rnacentral:tRNA from 1 species
GUCCCAGUAACGCAGUGGAUAGCGCGUUGCACUUCUAAUCCAAAGGUCGUGGGUUCGAAUCCCACCAGGGAUG